AUUUGUUUUGAUUUUGUCUCCAAGAUAGUAACGCCAUCUGGAUGUAUUAAUAAAUACCAAAGUUUUGAAGUCUCGUACUGAACCAUAUUUAGUGAUUUACGUUUUAUUGCAUUUUUUCUCAAUGUUAAUACGAAAGUUUUCAUCGGAGAAACCAGAAUGCCCACUAUGAAAGAGAAGAUUACAUUUUAUGAUCCACAACUUUCACUCUCAUGAUGACUAUGAUGUGUACAUGCUGCCUCCUUCAGAAGCUGUACAUAUAUACAUAUAUAUAUAUAUAUAUAUAUGGCUGGAUAUUCUACAUAUUGAUCUCCUUAAAUCUGGACAAUAGUUCCUAACCAGUGCCAUGUUGAGGACCAUCGUUUCUGUGGACAUGAUGCAAAUUACCCAUCUGUAGGAAAUGGAAGACAACCUCAUGACAAUUUGCCAGCCCAAAUGACAGCACAAGCUUCAAACAUGGAAUCUGAUGUUAGAGGAGUGGGAAGAGGUGGCAGAUAAAGAACCAUAUACUGCCCAUUCCAUAAUCACUAUUUCUUGGUGGCAGUACUUUGUAGCUUGCUGUCUCAAAUUCUGGUUCACUAAGUGUUUGGAUUAUGUAGUACAUGCAUUUAUUUUACUUAGACCUGCAAGCUAGUGAUGUAGGAAAACGUCCAAUUUGAUCCCAGUUACUGUAAUAAACAAAAAUACAAGUGUGGUAACCACCUUAUCAUAAUUUUCAUUGAUUAAGUCAUCAGCAUACAGAAUAUGUAAUGUAUUAAAUUACAUAUGGCUCUCUACAUGUAGACACAAAAUCACUGCUAAUUUCUAAAGUCUUCCACACUUUUAGGAAUUCCAACUAUAACAUAAUUACAAUUUAAAUCACUGCAUCAUAAAAGUAUAUUACCCACAUAAUACAAUAACAGAAGACUUUUAGGACUGGAAAUAUGCAAUAGGAAAGUAAACUUAAACAAUUACACCUGGAA